GACGGUACUUGAUGAAUAAGCCACGGCUAAUUCCGUGCCAGCAGCCGCGGUAAUACGGGAGUGGCAAGCGUUAUCCGGAAUUAUUGGGCGUAAAGCGUCCGCAGGCGGCCCUUCAAGUCUGCUGUUAAAAAGUGGAGCUUAACUCCAUUCAUGGCAGUGGAAACUGAGGGGCUUGAGUGUGGUAGGGGCAGAGGGAAUUCCCGGUGUAGCGGUGAAAUGCGUAGAUAUCGGGAAGAACACCAGUGGCGAAGGCGCUCUGCUGGGCCAUCACUGACGCUCAUGGACGAAAGCCAGGGGAGCGAAAGGGAUUAGAUACCCCUGUAGUCCUGGCCGUAAACGAUGAACACUAGGUGUCGGGGGAAUCGACCCCCUCGGUGUCGUAGCCAACGCGUUAAGUGUUCCGCCUGGGGAGUACGCACGCAAGUGUGAAACUCAAAGGAAUUGACGGGGGCCCGCACAAGCGGUGGAGUAUGUGGUUUAAUUCGAUGCAACGCGAAGAACCUUACCAGGGUUUGACAUCCUGCGAAUCUCUUGGAAACGAGAGAGUGCCUUCGGGAGCGCAGUGACAGGUGGUGCAUGGCUGUCGUCAGCUCGUGUCGUGAGAUGUUGGGUUAAGUCCCGCAACGAGCGCAACCCACGUCUUUAGUUGCCAGCAUUUAGUUGGGCACUCUAGAGAGACCGCCGGUGAUAAACCGGAGGAAGGUGUGGAUGACGUCAAGUCAUCAUGCCCCUUACAUCCUGGGCUACACACGUACUACAAUGCUACGGACAAAGGGCAGCAAGUUCGCGAGGACAAGCAAAUCCCAUAAACCGUGGCUCAGUUCAGAUCGUAGGCUGCAACUCGCCUACGUGAAGGAGGAAUCGCUAGUAAUCGCAGGUCAGCAUACUGCGGUGAAUACGUUCCCGGGCCUUGUACACACCGCCCGUCACACCAUGGAAGUUGGCCACGCCCGAAGCCGUUACUCCAACCCUUGUGGAGGAGGACGUCGAAGGUGGGGCUGAUGACUGGGGUG
rnacentral:rRNA from 1 species